rnacentral:rRNA from 1 species
GACGAACGCUGGCGGCGUGCCUAAUACAUGCAAGUAGAACGCUGAAGACUUUAGCUUGCUAAAGUUGGAAGAGUUGCGAACGGGUGAGUAACGCGUAGGUAACCUGCCUACUAGCGGGGGAUAACUAUUGGAAACGAUAGCUAAUACCGCAUAACAGCAUUUAACCCAUGUUAGAUGCUUGAAAGGAGCAAUUGCUUCACUAGUAGAUGGACCUGCGUUGUAUUAGCUAGUUGGUGAGGUAACGGCUCACCAAGGCGACGAUACAUAGCCGACCUGAGAGGGUGAUCGGCCACGCGGGGGCUGAGACACGGCCCAGACUCCUACGGGAGGCAGCAGUAGGGAAUCUUCGGCAAUGGGGGCAACCCUGACCGAGCAACGCCGCGUGAGUGAAGAAGGUUUUCGGAUCGUAAAGCUCUGUUGUAAGAGAAGAACGUGUGUGAGAGUGGAAAGUUCACACAGUGACGGUAACUGAGGAAUAAGCAUCGGCUAACUCUGUGCCAGCAGCCGCAGUAACAC